AGAAGUAUGUAGUAAUAACUUAUGAGAUGCUUUGGUGUUCCCUCAGAGAAUCUGAGGCUUGAGCUAAAGAAUACCAUCCUAUAAGACGCUACUUCU
rnacentral:sRNA from 12 species